rnacentral:ncRNA from 1 species
AUCAUCCUUUUCUUGGGGUUGCACUACUUUCCAAUGAAUACAUAGUGACGGAAGUACUACUAAUGCCUACACAACAACCUGCAUCACCUAGAGCUUUGCUUUACCUUGGUGCAAUUUUUGGAAAA